rnacentral:rRNA from 1 species
GAUCAUGGCUCAGGAUGAACGCUAGCGACAGGCCUAACACAUGCAAGUCGAGGGGCAGCGGAGAGGUAGCAAUACCUUUGCCGGCGACCGGCGCACGGGUGAGUAACACGUAUGCAAUCCACCUGUAACGAGGGGGAUAACCCGGAGAAAUCCGGACUAAUACCCCAUAAUAUGGGCUCUCCGCAUGGAGGGUCCAUUAAAGAGAGCAAUUUUGGUUACAGACGAGCAUGCGCUCCAUUA